GGGGUAUAGCUCAGCUGGUUAGAGCACCUGCCUUACAAGCAGGGGGUCACAGGUUCGAGUCCUGUUGUCCCC
rnacentral:tRNA from 1 species